rnacentral:rRNA from 1 species
UACGGGGGGGGCAAGCGUUGUUCGGAAUUACUGGGCGUAAAGGGCUCGUAGGUGGCCAACUAAGUCGGACGUGAAAUCCCUCGGCUUAACCGGGGAACUGCGUCCGAUACUGGUUGGCUUGAGUUUGGGAGAGGGAUGCGGAAUUCCAGGUGUAGCGGUGAAAUGCGUAGAUAUCGGAAGGAACACCGGUGGCGAAAGCGGCGCGCUGGACCUCUUCUGACGCUGAGGCGCGAAAGCCAGGGGAGCGAACGGG